rnacentral:rRNA from 1 species
GACGAACGCUGGCGGCGUGGAUUAGGCAUGCAAGUCGAACGGUAUCAUCCUUUCGGGGGUGAGAGAGUGGCGAACUGGUGAGUAACACGUAGGUUAUCUACCCUCAAGACGGGGACAACCCAGGGAAACUUGGGCUAAUACCGGAUGUGAGCAACUUUUAGUUGUUUGAAAGGUGGCGUAAGCUGUCGCUUGGGGAUGAGCCUGCGUCCUAUUAGUUAGUUGGUGAGGUAACGGCUCACCUAGGCAAUGAUAGGUAGGCGGCCUUAACGGGUGGUCGCCCACACUGGGAUUGAGAUACGGCCCAGACUCCUACGGGAGGCAGCAGUCGAGAAUAGUCUACAAUGGUCGGAAGACUGAUAGUGCGACGCCGCGUGAACGAUGAAUCCCUUCGGGGUGUAAAGUUCUUUUAUAUGUGAGCAGUGCUUCUUAUAUUAACAGUAUGGGGAAGAGAUAUUAGCAUAUGAAUAAGCAACGGCUAACUCCGUGCCAGCAGCCGCGGUUUAA